rnacentral:rRNA from 1 species
GAAAUAUCUUUGUAGCUUUAGGAAAAGAAAUCAAAAGAGAUUCUAUGAAUAGCGUGAGCGAAAGUAGAAGAGCCUAAAAAGUAAAACGGUAUAUAAACUGUUUGAACAAAAUGGGGAACCUUCCUCAAAGGCUAAAUAUGAUACAUAAGCGAUAGUAAAAAGUACCGUGAGGGAACAAAACAAAAAUAGUAAUUUUAUAAGCAGUUCGAAAAAAAGAACGUACCUUUUGCAUAAUGGGUCACCAAGUUAACAUUAGAUGCGAGCUACAAAAGUAUGCGUAGUUAAACCGAACGUUAAAAUAACGAAAAGUGUCUAAAGUUAGACCCGAAGCCAGGUGAUUUUACCAUGAUCAGGAUUAUAAAAGUCCGAACGGGUGAUUGUAGCAAAAAUCUCCGAAGAAUUGUGGUAGGUGUAGUGAAAGACAACACUGACUUGGAUAGCUGGUUUUCUGCGAAACCUAUAAUAGUAGGCAAUUUAAAUAAAUAUCUUAGCAGGUACAGAAUUUAAUCUCAGACAAUUUCGUAUUGUACAAAUUGGGGGAUCAUGAAGGUUUUAUCAGUGAGUAUGCAGACUCGGAAUGGCAAAGAUAUAUUUUAAAUGAUCAGACAUAGAAUGAUAAGGUUGUAUGUCGAAAGGGAAACAGCCCAGAACAAGAGUUAAGGUUCCUAAAUUAUUAGUUAAGUGAAAUUAAGAAGGUUUUUAUUAAAGUCGACAAGGAGAUAGGCUUAGAAGCAGCCAUAAUUUUAUGACCUCGUAACAGAGCGCUUGUUAAGUUAUAAAAGCAUCGAAAAUUUAACGGAUCUAAACAAUAUACCGAAACCUUGUCCAUAAUUUCUCUAAUUUAUUAGAAUUUUAUGGGGUAGCAGAACGUUGAGCUAAAUUAUGAGUUUUAUUUUGUAAAUAAAAUUAUAAGGAUUUAACUCAAGCGAGAAUGGUGACAUGAGUAACGAAAAGAAAUUUUAUAUUUCCGCCUAAAGCUUAUGGAUAGAUUUAAGUAACGGCCUCUAAGUUUGAAUAUCUAAAGAUACAAACGAUGAGUAAAUCUUUAUUACUAAGGACAACAUUUUAGUGAAAAAUGUGCUGGAAAAAUAGUAAAUAAAAUAACCGUACCUAGAAACUGAAACAAGUAAGCUAGUAGAGAAUACGAAGGCGUAAAUGAGCUAACAAUCAUAAAGGAACUCGGCAAAUUGACUACCGUAACUUCGGAAUAAGGAGGGCUCAUUAUUCUCGAUUAAUAUCGAGUAAAGAGGAAGAAGCAUGAAAUAAUGUUGUACGACUGUUUAAUUAAAACACAGCACUUUGCUGAAAGAUUAAAAAUCUAUGUAUAAAGUGUGAUAUCUGCCCGGUGCCGGCUGGUUAACAGAGAUAAUUCUAUAUGUUACUAUAGGAUGUCGACGGAAACCCCGGUUAAAGGCGGCCUUAACGUGAGGGUCCUAAGGUAGCGAAAUGCCUUGGCCGUUAAAUGCGGUCUUGCAUGAAUGGUGUAACGAUACAACAGCUGUCUCUAUGAUUGACUCAGUGAAAUUGGAAUAGCUGUGCAGAUACAGCUUACCUCUAGUUAGACGAGAAGACCCUAUGCAGCUUUACUGUCACUAAUUAUAGAAUAUGAAAAAUGAUUUUCAGUAUAUAAGGUAAUAGAUUAUGUGAUCAUGAGAAACCUUUAUUUCUUUUUCAUAUGAAUGAAUUGAUUUACGGAAUUAAGUAGUUUGGUUUUAAUGUGGCUUUACUGAGCUUUCUUUUAUACAUUAAUUCUUUACUUUAAAUCACCGUAGCUUUUUUAAGUAAAUCAACCUAGUUCAGCUUAUUUCCUUUUGUGGAAAUAGGUACCCUUUGGUAAGGAACUAUCGCUAGGGGACAGUUUAUGUGGGGCACAGACCCUGUAAAGAGUAAACAGGAGUGUCUAAAAAUAUAAUUUAUUUUGUUUGCAAUUUUAAGUAGUUUUACUAUUUUUAAUCGUAUUCACUUAUUUAUAUAUACAAUUGCGUAUAUAUAUUUAAUAUU